AGUCCGAUAGUAUAAGGGUAGUACAAAUGAUUUUGGUUCAUUUAGUCCUGGUUCGAAUCCAGGUCGGACAA
rnacentral:tRNA from 1 species